rnacentral:rRNA from 1 species
UACGGGGGGGGCAAGCGUUGUUCGGAAUUACUGGGCGUAAAGGGCUCGUAGGUGGCCAACUAAGUCAGACGUGAAAUCCCUCGGCUUAACCGGGGAACUGCGUCUGAUACUGGAUGGCUUGAGGUUGGGAGAGGGAUGCGGAAUUCCAGGUGUAGCGGUGAAAUGCGUAGAUAUCUGGAGGAACACCGGUGGCGAAGGCGGCAUCCUGGACCAAAUUCUGACGCUGAGGAGCGAAAGCCAGGGGAGCAAACGGGG